GGGGGAUAUUGGACAAUGGGGGCAACCCUGAUCCAGCGACGCCGCGUGAGGGAAGAAGGUUUUCGGAUUGUAAACCUCUGUUGACGGAGAAAAAAAUGAUGGUAUCCGUUUAGAAAGCCACGGCUAACUACGUGCCAGCAGCCGCGGUAAUACGUAGGUGGCAAGCGUUGUCCGGAAUUACUGGGUGUAAAGGGAGUGUAGGCGGGAUAUCAAGUCAGAAGUGAAAAUUACGGGCUCAACUCGUAACCUGCUUUUGAAACUGACAUUCUUGAGUGAAGUAGAGGCAAGCGGAAUUCCUAGUGUAGCGGUGAAAUGCGUAGAUAUUAGGAGGAACACCAGUGGCGAAGGCGGCUUGCUGGGCUUUUACUGACGCUGAGGCUCGAAAGCGUGGGGAGCAAACAGGAUUAGAUACCCCGGUAGUCCACGCCGUAAACGAUGAUUACUAGGUGUGGGGGGAUUGACCCCUUCCGUGCCGGAGUAAACACAAUAAGUAAUCCACCUGGGGAGUACGACCGCAAGGUUGAAACUCAAAGGAAUUGACGGGGGCCCGCACAAGCAGUGGAGUAUGUGGUUUAAUUCGACGCAACGCGAAGAACCUUACCAGGUCUUGACAUCAAGUGACCGCCUAAGAGAUUAGGUUUUCCCUUCGGGGACACAAAGACAGGUGGUGCAUGGUUGUCGUCAGCUCGUGUCGUGAGAUGUUGGGUUAAGUCCCGCAACGAGCGCAACCCUUAUCAUUAGUUGCUACGCAAGAGCACUCUAAUGAGACUGCCGUUGACAAAACGGAGGAAGGUGGGGAUGACGUCAAAUCAUCAUGCCCUUUAUGACCUGGGCUACACACGUACUACAAUGGCGUUUAACAAAGAGAAGCAAAGCCGCGAGGCAGAGCAAAUCUCCAAAAAACGUCUCAGUUCGGAUUGUAGGCUGCAACUCGCCUACAUGAAGUCGGAAUUGCUAGUAAUCGUAGGUCAGCAUACUACGGUGAAUACGUUCCCG
rnacentral:rRNA from 1 species